CUGGAACGCGCCCCGGCGCACCCAGAAACCCUUUGUGAACCUAUACCUUACUGUUGCCUCGGCGCAGGCCGGCCUCCCGUGAGGCCCCUCGGAGACGAGGAGCAGCCCGCCGGCGGCCAAGCAAACUCUUGUUUCUUAGUGGAUCUCUGAGUAAAAAACACAAAUGAGUCAAAACUUUCAACAACGGAUCUCUUGGUUCUGGCAUCGAUGAAGAACGCAGCGAAAUGCGAUAAGUAAUGUGAAUUGCAGAAUUCAGUGAAUCAUCGAAUCUUUGAACGCACAUUGCGCCCCCUGGUAUUCCGGGGGGCAUGCCUGUUCGAGCGUCAUUUCACCCCUCAAGCCUGGCUUGGUGCUGGGGCACUACUCCCUCGCCGGAGUAGGCCCUGAAAUCCAGCGGCGAGCCCUAUGGGUAACCGAGUGCAGUAGUAUUCUCGCUCUGGGAUGCCCGUGCGGCGCGGCCGUUAAACCCCCAACUCCUGAGAUUUUGACCUCG
rnacentral:rRNA from 1 species